UGGUAUUUAUGCUGGUCUACCAGCAGUCUUGCUGGCUAAACUGAAACAGACACAGACAGACAGAGAGGGCGGGGGACGGCGAGACGGCAGUGGUUGAAACAAAGCAGUAUGUUUUGACUGGCACUAACGGCACAACGGUCAAGGAGUGAAGAAGAUCAGUUGAGCGUUUCUGUGACUCCGCCCAGCGGCUGCUCUUCUGAGAGGCACCGCUCUGACAGCUCUGUCUACUGGGAAAUGCGCUAAAAGUCCUUCUGGAGGUAAGCAACACUACACAAUUUCACCAAGUCUGAGAGUAAAAGCUUUCUCGAAGGCUUUGCAUUUGAACUCCUAUGACUGGUUGCGGUCUUGAAGGGAAUGACUUCCUGGCCUUCCUGACAUCCAGGAAAAUGUUUUAUUUGACAGUAGAGAUCUAAUGGAAACAGUGGAG